CCAGACUCCUACGGGAGGCAGCAGUGGGGAAUAUUGCACAAUGGGGGAAACCCUGAUGCAGCGACGCCGCGUGAAGGGCGAAGUAUUUCGGUACGUAAACUUCUAUCAGCAGGGAAGAAAAUGACGGUACCUGACCAAGAAGCCCCGGCUAACUACGUGCCAGCAGCCGCGGUAAUACGUAGGGGGCAAGCGUUAUCCGGAUUUACUGGGUGUAAAGGGAGCGUAGACGGCCGUGCAAGUCUGAUGUGAAAACCCGGGGCUCAACCCCGGGACUGCAUUGGAAACUGCAUGGCUGGAGUGUCGGAGAGGCAAGUGGAAUUCCUAGUGUAGCGGUGAAAUGCGUAGAUAUUAGGAGGAACACCAGUGGCGAAGGCGGCUUGCUGGACGACGACUGACGUUGAGGCUCGAAAGCGUGGGGAGCAAACAGGAUUAGAUACCCUUGUA
rnacentral:rRNA from 1 species